UACGUAGGCAGCAAGCGUUGUUCGGAGUUACUGGGCGUAAAGGGUGCGUAGGCGGCUUCUUAAGUCUGGUGUGAAAUCUCCCGGCUCAACUGGGAGGGUGCGCCGGAUACUGAGGGGCUAGAGUGUGGGAGAGGAAAGUGGAAUUCCUGGUGUAGCGGUGAAAUGCGCAGAUAUCAGGAGGAACACCGGUGGCGAAGGCGGGUCUCUGGGCCAUUACUGACGCUGAGGAGCGAAAGCGUGGGGAGCGAACAGG
rnacentral:rRNA from 1 species